rnacentral:rRNA from 1 species
AUUGAACGCUAGCGGGAUGCCUUACACAUGCAAGUCGAACGAGAGGCGGACGGGUGAUAAAUAUACCUGAACGUGCCCAGUAGAUGGGGAUAACUACUCGUAACUGUUGCCGCUAACGCACACUAUGGGAGCGGCCGAUUUCGGAUUAGCGAGUUGGUGGGGUAAAGGCUCACCAAGGCCACGAUCCGUAGCUGGUUUGAGAGGACGACCAGCCACACUGGGACUGAGACACGGCCCAGACUCCUACGGGAGGCAGCAGUGGGGAAUUUUGGACAAUGGGGGAAACCCUGAUCCAGCCAUCCCGCGUGUGUGAGAAGGCCUUCGGGUUGUAAAGUACUUUUGGCAGGGAAGCGGUAUCUGCAGAAUAAGCACCGGCUAACUACGUGCCAGCAGCCGCGGUAAUUC